AAGCAAACAUGUUUUUAAUUGUGACCAGCGUAUACAUUAAACAUAGUAUUAAUGUAGGCCUAUACAAAAGCUACAUAACAUGAUACUAAACUAGUGGAAGUGAAACAAUGUAAUUAAAGCCAAAAGCUCAAACAUAAAAGAAAUGUUGAGACACAAACAUAAGGCCCUGCAGAUAAUGAUGGUGCAGAACUAUUGGAGCGAUGACUCCCGUGAUAGGCGGUUGACCCGCCAAUAACUCCAGCACCGAUAAUUCCAGCACCUGCUCCGGCCCCCACUCCUCUGCCUAUUCCUCUUCCCCUUCCUCCUGCUCCCCUUCCUCCUCCUCCCCCUCCUCCCUUCCCACCUCCUCCUUUUCUUAUGGUAACAGAUAGUUCAUGUUUGUGUUCAUUACUUUCCAUCAUCGCAACUCUGUGGUUCAACCUAGUAGAGACUUCUAUGUUUCCAUUUCCAUCUAAGCUUCCUAUCAUUGAAUAGCACAAGUAUAAAAAAGUAAAAAAGAAGAAAAAAACAAGCAUGCUUACAAAUGUCUUAGAAUUUGGGUUGAGUCUGACCCGAUCCUAUGACUCGAUCCUACAAAACUACUAGACAACCAAGGCAUGGCCUGGUUAACCCGAUAGCAUGUGGUUCAAUAUAUCUUAGAUAGACUUCUAUGCAAUAUUAUAUUUGGAUUGAGACUAACUCAAGCCCUCUUUGGGGAAAAACUUAUUUUGCCUUAUAACAAAAGCGCUUAUGAAUAAACUAUUUCUAUAAUACCAUAUAAAAUAAAGUCAUAUUAUUUUUGAAUAAUCUAUAAGCUGCUUUCAUAAACUAUCCAAGAGAGCUUAUGGAAAUAAACUGAAAACAACUUAUGAACAUGUCAUAAGAUGUUUUCAUAAGUUCUCCUAAACAGUGUCACAAGUGUUUAAAACACUAGAUAAAAUCAAAUAAGCUAAUCCAAAUACGCUCUCAAUCCUACAAAACUGACUUGUAAGGUGAGAGAUACAUCAUUUUCAAGCAAAUAUCUCAUUCAAUUUCACAAAAUUUAUGAAAAAUUAAGUUUGGGCUUGUUAGAAACUGUACCAUUAAGUUCAUGUGGUUGUUUGGAAUUGAAAUCUUGUUCAUUUGAUAUGGCUAGAGCUCUUGAAAUGAUGAGAAGGAAAGUUGCAAGAAGCAUAAGCUUCAUGUUAGGGUUGACAAAGGAAUUCUUUGCAAAUAAUUGGGAUUUGAACAAUUUUCCAGAUUGUUUGGAAAGAGUUGAAUAGUUAUGUUUGAUGAAUAAAAGGGGGUGAGAAAUUAAGAAGAUGAAGGGUGUGGGAAAAGUAAUAGUUAUGCACGGGGAGAAGAAAAUAAGAAGAAAAAAUGGAUCAUGCAAUUUCAGAGAAAGAAAGGGGAAGAAAUCUAUACUCUUUCCUUUUUGGUUGAAAAAGUCUACGCUCAAUAUGGUAAGGUAAAGUGGUGGUAUCCUAUGUGCACUAUGACCAAGGCUACAAUAAAGGGAUGACAAAAUGAGCGGCCGAGAAAUGAUAUUUUUAUGUAAGUGACAACUUUCUCUCUAAUACCGUAGAGCUGUCAAAACAGGCGGCCCUAGCGGGCUUCGGGCUUUAGAGGGCCGGCCCAAAAAGCCCGGUUGAUAAAACGGGCUUGAAAUAUACUACCCGAGCCCGGCCCUACACGGGCCGCGGGCUAAACGGACCGGCCCGUAUUAAAAAUUAUAUAUUUUUUUAUUUUAAAAAAAUACUAUAAAACACUACUAUAAUUUUUUUAUAAAUAAUAUUUUUAAUAUGUUUAAAUAAUGUCUAGCACAAAAGUAAAUUGUAAACAUUUUCGUACAAACGUCGUAAACUAAAACGACGAGAAAAAUGAUUUUAAAUAAAUUAGAUAUGUUAUGGUUAUAGAUAUUUAUAUAUUCGAUCUUUAAAACUAUAAAUAACGAAAUGAAUAAAUAUAAUUUUAUAUUACAUUUAUAUUUGUGUUAAUUAAUUGAAUUUUCACUUUUGUUUUUUACUUUGAUAAUCAACUAAGUAAAUAAUUAUUUGAAAAAUAUAUAUAAUUUAUAGAAAUUUUUUUUUGUUAUGCGGGCUACCCGCGGCCCAUUCGAGCUGGCCCUAACGGGUACCGAGCUUUUAAGGGCCGGGCUAAAAAGCCCUAUUAAAAUUUGGGCUCAAUAUUUUAGGCCCAGGCCCUAUAUUUAUUCGGGCUAAACGGGCCGGCCCAUACGGGCCGGCCCGUUUUGACAAUCAAUGUUUUAUUUUAAGCUUAAUUGCACUUUUGACCCCCUAUGGUUCAAGAAGUUGCGAUUUUUGCCCCCUAACUAAUUAAAAUACAAAACAGCCACGUAUGUAUUGAAGCUUUGACAGUUUUGGCCCUAGACCAAUUUUGACUCGGUCAACACUGACGUGACUCGUGUGUUUUGUUUUAAUUAAAAAUAAAUAAAAAAAGCUCCAUAUAAAUUAAAGAAUUAAAUAAAUGAAAAAACAACAAAUAAUUAAAAAAAUAAAAAAGAAAGAAAAAAAGGAUGGAAAUCGUGUUCCAAAAUAUGAUUCUCCCUUUUCUUCCUCUCAUCUCUCUCUAAAAAACUAAUUCCCUCUCUCCAAAACCCUUUGUUCCAAAAUCUUGAAGUUUUCUGCCACUGCUUCAUCACCACCAUGGAUUUGCUUCGAUUGAAUCUCUCUCGUAUUUGAAUUGUAACCAGAAACAUGAGGAAGUAAAGUGGCAUUCUAAUUUUUCAAACACGGGUAAACUAGUUGUAGCAUUCAGGAAAUAUAAAUAGAAACUAUCAUUAUACUUUUAAUAAUGUAAACAUUAUGUGAUUGGUCUGAUUUUAUUUGUAGAUCAUCAAAUUGAUAAUACAGGGAAUUCUUAUUCAUGCAUUCAAGGUAACUUGUAGGAGUUAUUGUGUUUCAGAUGAGGAGUUUUAAAACACUUUUUAACUAAUUCAAGAAUAAAUAUUCAUACUAUUAAAGAUUAUUGAGAUAUUCUUGCAUUAUUCAUGCUGACACUGAUAAUAUUGCAUUUAUAACUGCAAAUUAAUAAAUAACUGAUUAGUUUAUAAUAAAUAUACAUAUAUGAAACGACAGAUUAAGGGAGGAAAAAAAGAAUUUAUAUGAUAAAUAUAUCAGGCUAUUGGAUUGGUAGGGAACAAUGGAGGUGUAAUUCUUAUUCAAGUUAUGUAAAAGCAACAUGCAACUAAUAUAAUUGCCUUGUUUUGUGCCCUUUAUAUAUGUCAAAGUGCAUGUGAUAUGUUCAUUUUUCUUUUGAUAAAAACGAAACUUUCGUUUCGUUCAAUAGGACAUUAUUUCAUUAUCGUGCUUGCAUUGAGCUACUCAUCCUUUUUCCACUUUUCCAUGCUUUUGUCAAUGGAGCAGGUUAUUGAAUCAGUGUUUUAGAGAGAGAUGAGAGGAAGAAGAGUUAGAAUCAGAUUUUAGAACACAAUUUCAUUCCUUUUUUUCUUUCUUUUUUAUUUUUUUAAUCAUUUGUUGUUUUUUUUUCAUUUAUUUAAUUCUUUAAUUUAUAUGUGGCUUUUAUUUUUAUUUUUAAUUAAAACAAUACAUGUGGCGCCUUUGAAGUGCCACGUCAGCGUUGACUGAGUCAAAAUUGGUCUAGGGGGCCAAAACUGCCAAAGAUCCAAUACAUAGGAGGCUAUUUUGUAUUUCAAUUAGUUAAGGGGCCAAAACUGCCAAAGAUCCAAUACAUAGGGGGUUGUUUUCUAUUUCAAUUAGUUAGGGGUCCAAAAUCGCAACUUCUUGAAACAUAGGGGGGCCAAAAGUGCAUUUAAGCCUUUAUUUUAUUUCUCUAUUGUUUUGGUUUUCGUGUCAAUACUUACUUUUUCUUUGUAAAUCUAUGGUUGUCACAUAAGUUGCGAAUAAAAUAAUUGUUCAAAUAACACAACACCGCUCCCUUAUUAAUUCGUCUAAAAAAGUGGAAAGUCCUGGUGAUGCUGACUUAGCUGGUAAAAAUAUUAUACUCCUUCCGGUCAUUAUUAGAAUAAACAAUUGAAUUUUUAGAUUCAUUGAAUAAUUGAUGUAUUUUGUUAUAAAUAUAGACCAGAUACAUCACUUACACAAUGAAUCUAAAAAGUUAAUGACCGAAGGGAGUAUAAUAUAUAUAUAUAUAUAUAUAUAUAUAUAUAUAAGGAUCGACUUUUGAACCUGAGACAUCCCAUUUACCCACGUUUAAAAAUGUUAGAUUUGGCAAGAUUGUGCCUACAUGAAAGUUGUUGAUUGUGCAACUUUAUCCAGGUGACAUUGAUGUGGCAAAUCUAUUAAUUUAAAAAGAAAUUAAAAAAUCAUAAAAUAUCAAGAAUGAAGUUAAGUGAACCUUCUCUCUAUAAAUUUUUUUUCUCUAAAACAAACCUCUCUUCCUGGGACUGGGUUUCUUUUAGUUGGUUUGUGGCUCGUCCGUCAUUGCUACUCUUCAGAUUUGCUUUAUUCUUGACCCGAUUGAACUUGGGAGGAGGUUUUGCUUUCUGUUUUCGAUUUGGGUAUCUUUUUCGUCACGUUUUGCUAGUUGAUGUUGAUCUAUGUCGCUCUGUAUUAAAUAUUUUUUGAAUUUUUUAACUUGAAACUUAAUCCAAAAGUUUGUGAUUCUCAUCAUUUUACUUUAUCCUUUGUUGUGUUUUGACAUAUAUACUCUUAAUUUACAGAUAUAUUUAUACAUCUAAUCACACUACAUUUCGACAUCAUACUAUGGAUGACACUCAAACAGAGACAAGCAAACAUGUUUUUAAUGCUAGGCCUAUACAAAAGCUACAUAACACGAUACUAAACUAGUGGAAGUGAAACAAUAUGAUUAUAACCAAAAGCUCAAACAUAAAAUAAAUGUUGAGACACAAACAUAAGGCCCUGCAGAUAAUGAUGAUGCAGAACUAUUGGAGUGAUGACUCCUGUCAUAGGUGGUUGACCCGCCGAUAACUCCAGCACCGAUAACUCCACCACCCACUCCUCUGCCUAUUCCUCUGCCUAUUCCUCCUCCUUUUCUUAUGGUAACAGAUAGUUCAUGUUUGUGUUCAUUACUUUCCAUCAUCACAACUCCGCGGUUCAACCUAGUAGAGACUUGUAUGUUUCCAUUUCCAUUAAGUUCAUGUGCUUGUUUGGUAUUGAAAUCUUGUUCAUUUGAUAUGUUGGCUAGAGCUGUUGAAAUGAUGAGAAGGAAAGUUGAAAGAAGCAUAAGCUUCAUGUUAGUGUUUGCAAAGAAUUGGGAUUUGAGAUUGUUUGGAAAGAGCUUAAUAGUUAUGUUUGAUGAAUUAAAGGGUGUGGGAAAAGUAAUAUAUAUAUAUAUAAGAAGAUUGUUGAAUGAAUGUGUCCAUGCAAUUUCAGAUUAAGAAAGGAGAAGAAAUCUAUACUCUUUCCUUUUUGGUUGAAAAAUUCUACGCUUGAUAGAUAUUGUAUAUGUCGACCAAGGUAUGACAAAAUGAGCCGCCGCGUAUAGUUAUUAAAAUAGAGUGGAAUGUGGAGCGUAGUCUUUGAUUAGAUGAAUGAUUAACAAGGAUUGCAUCUACCUGACUCUUUCUGACUGCAAUUUUUUGCACGAUACAGCAAAUCCAU
rnacentral:lncRNA from 1 species